rnacentral:rRNA from 1 species
CUCCCGUUGAUCCUGCCGGACCUGACUGCUAUCGGAUUGGUACUAAGCCAUGUGAGUCAUUGUAGCAAUACAAGGCAUACGGCUCAGUAACACGUAGUCAAUCUAACCUAUGGACGUGGAUAACCUCGGGAAACUGAGAAUAAUCCGCGAUAGAUCAUAAUUCCUGGAACGGUUUAUGGUCCAAAUGAUUCGUCGCCAUAGGGUGGGACUGCGGCCUAUCAGCUUGUUGGUGAGGUAAUGGCUCACCAAGGCUAUUACAGGUACGGGCUCUGAGAGGAGAAGCCCGGAGAUGGGUACUGAGACACGGACCCAGGCCCUAUGGGGCGCAGCAGGCGAGAAACCUUUGCAAUGUGCGCAAGCACGACAAGGUUAAUCCGAGUGUUUCCUGCUAAAGGAAUCUUUUGUUAGUUCUAAAACCACUGAUGAAUAAGAGGUGGGCAAGUUCUGGUGCCAGCAGCCGCGGUA